AUCCAGCUAACGAGUCCGAAAUAGGACGAAAUGCGCGUCCUGGAU
rnacentral:hammerhead_ribozyme from 1 species